AGCCGAUGAUGAGCUCUACAAUUUCUGACACCUCGUAUGAACACUGCUCUUGCAGUUACUGAUUAUGCCUGACAUGAGCUGAGGCUG